CAGAUCCCAAAACUUCCAAGCCACGAGGAGACAACUUUGGAUUCAAUCUGGACGACGCCCUGGAGCCCGCUUCACAGUCCACCGCUGCACCCAGCGGAGGAGAGUGCCAGAAAAACCUGAUCCAGAAACUGACCUCCGUCCUGGAGAAUCAGAACCGGCAGCUUCGCCUGCUGCUGCAGCUCACGUCUGGAUCUCGCUCUCGCUCUCCGUCUGCGUGGCGAAUGCGCUGAGAGACGUGGGAAGACGUGUGAGUGGGAAGGAAAUUUGAGGUGACUUUGAGGUCAAUUUUAAAAUCUGUUUUUUACAACUAUAUUAUAGCUUAUUUAAAAUAAUUAAA